AGCAGAUUAGCACGGCCCCUGCGCAAGGAUGACAUGCAAAUUUGUGAAGCGUUCCAUAUUUUU
ensembl:snRNA U6 U6 spliceosomal RNA